AACGAACGCUGGCGGCAGGCUUAACACAUGCAAGUCGAGCGCUCCGCAAGGGGAGCGGCAGACGGGAGAGUAACGCGUGGGAAUCUACCCAUCUCUACGGAAUAACGCAUGGAAACGUGUGCUAAUACCGUAUACGUCCUUCGGCAGAAAGCUUUAUCGGAGAUGGAUGAGCCCGCGUUGGAUUAGCUGGUUGGUGGGGUAAAGGCCUACAAAGGCGACGGUCCAUAGCUGGUCUGAGAGGAUGAUCAGCCACACUGGGACUGAGACACGGCGCAGACGCCUACGGGUUGCAGCGGAGGGGAAUAGUGGACAAGCGGCGCAAGCGUGAUCCAGCCCUGCCGCGUGAGUGAUGCAAGCCUUACUGUUGCAAACCUCAUUCACCGGUGAAGAUAAUGGCGCUACCCCGAGAAGAAGCCCAGGCUAAUUUCGUGCCAGCCGCCGCUGUUACAC
rnacentral:rRNA from 1 species